rnacentral:misc_RNA from 1 species
CCUCUACAGGCGCUACUGCCGUAUUGUUCGUUUACAAGAAACGACAACUGCAAACAGAAAAUGGUCUGAGUAACCUGCUGGCUCGUGGUAUACGUCGUGGUGUACGUUGCCAAGUGGAUCUACGGGCUCUUCAGACGUCCUGCAAUCGAGAACAAGAGGGACAGAGAGGAGCCGCCAUCGGUUAACAGCUCUAGAGCGUGUGAGAGUGGUACCUGAUCUUCGCCGUUCAAGCGCCACGGCAAGGGACCUCCGGCCUCCCCGUCUGCGUAAAGCGGCCACGGCGACGAUGCCAUUCCCUCCAGCUUGCACCGUGUGAGCAGACGCGUUUGCACGCAUCGUAUCUGUGGUAUCUGAAGCGCCACGCUCGCGCAUGAAACAACUCGCGCACAAAUACGCGGGCCGACACGCAUCCCAGCUCCUCUACGCGCCUGCGCAAACAUCGACAGAACGUAGAAUCGACCCCCCUCCCGCCUCCCCUCCUGAGCAGGCCAGGCCGUUGAGGAUGUGAAAGAAGGCUAGUUGCAGGAGGAAGAAGAAGGAACAGACGGUACUCGUGGAACAUACUUGUACUGUUUUUGCAGGGAGCAACGCAACACGUCAAAGCCGAUGGGUGCUGUGCCUCCCAGCUGAGCGUCGUUGUCUGCUCUUGAAGCCCGCUUUCUUGUGGAGGAGGCAAAGGAAGAGCGGCUACGUGUGUGUGGUGUUUCUUGUACUGUAUGCCUUUCUCUCUCCCUCACCGCGUAUGAGCGCGUGCGUGUGCGCGCACUUAUUUUAUGACGUGUCAUGUUGGAACCGCAGGAUACAUGAUGCGGAAUGUACGCACGAUACAAUGCUGCACUGACGCACACUCACGCCUAUCAGUAGGCACACGCAAACAGCGGCGCAGAAGGAAAGAACCGCAUGUAAAAGCGGGCAAGUAAGCAGCCGAGGGGUGAGGGGUAGAGCGCCAGUGGAGAGACGGUGGAGGAAGGUACUAGCUAGGACAGAAGAAGGAAGAAUACGGGCCGGCUUCCUUUGUUGUCAUACAAGGGUCGCCAGCGCACGUACUUACAUUGCCCCAUCUCCUGGGCAGUUCACUCGUAACGAAUGCCCUCGCAAUCGGCGCGAUGAUUUGCCUGCGUGUCCAACUGAGUCAGCCCGGCAGUCGCUCGCGGGGCCCAUUUUUGCCUCUUCGCCACUUGUGCUCUUUCUUGCUUAUCUCGUUGCGUGCUCUGUGUGGCCAUGGCUCGCUCGCUCUCUCUCUCUAUGCUCCCCUUCUCGCAUUCCGUGCGGCCGGUGGGGUGUGCACACCUUUCUCAUUUCUUCUGCCCUCUGUUUCCCUUUUUUCGUUUUUUUUUUCUGUUUUUUUUUCUUUUGCCCUUUUUGGUCUCUUGUAUUUAAUCCGGCUUGUCUUCCGUUCUUGCACGUUGUGGACGGCUGUCUCGCCGCCUCUGGUGUACUGUGUGCUUCAUGUGACCGGCCACUUGCCGUGCCACGAAG